rnacentral:rRNA from 1 species
UACGUAGGGACCAAGCGUUGUUCGGAUUUACUGGGCGUAAAGGGCGCGUAGGCGGCAAUUCAAGUCAUCUGUGAAAUCUCCGGGCUUAACCCGGAACGGUCAGGUGAUACUGUUUUGCUAGAGUGCGGAAGGGGCAAUCGGAAUCCUCGGUGUAGCGGUGAAAUGCGUAGAUAUCGAGAGGAACACCAGAGGUGAAGACGGGUUGCUGGGCCGACACUGACGCUGACAGCGCGAAAGCCAGGGGAGCAAACGGG